GGUGGCUCAGUGGUAGAGUGCUUGCCUUGCAUGCAUGAGACCCUGGGUUCAAUUCCCCAGCACCA
rfam:Dipodomys ordii contig_64497, whole genome shotgun sequence.